rnacentral:rRNA from 1 species
AAUGAACGCUGGCGGCGCGCCUAAUACAUGCAAGUCGAGCGAGAAGACGUAGCAAUACGUUUGUAAAGCGGCGAACGGGUGAGGAAUACAUGGGUAACCUACCCUAGAGUGGGAAUAACUAGCCGAAAGGUUAGCUAAUACCGCGUACGCUCCUUGGACUUCGGUUCAGGGAGGAAAGCGAUGCCGAGGGUAUCGCGCUCUUGGAUGGGCUCAUGUCCUAUCAGCUUGNGGUGAGGUAACGGCUCACCAAGGCUUCGACGGGUAGCUGGUCUGAGAGGACGAUCAGCCACACUGGCACUGCGACACGGGCCAGACUCCUACGGGAGGCAGCAGUAAGGAAUAUUGCGCAAUGGGCGAAAGCCUGACGCAGCGACGCCGCGUGGGGGA